GUUGGCGCCAACAAUGGUGUGCUGAUAAAGGGAGGAGAUGCAUUGGAGAGGGCACAGAAGAUUAGUCAUGUGAUAUUUGAUAAGACAGGCACUUUGACCCAGGGAAAUGCUAAAGUCACAACAGUCAAAAUUUUCAAUGAGAUGGAUCGUGGAGAAUUCCUUACUUUGGUAGCUUCUGCAGAGGCUAGCAGUGAACACCCCUUGGCUAAAGCCAUCCUGGAAUACACUCGUCAUUUCCAUUUCUUUGACGAGCCUUCUAAUACCAGCGAGUUACAGACUUACAGUGAACAGGCUAAGUUUUCUGGAUGGCUUCAUGAUGUAUCAGAUUUCUCUGUUUUGCCUGGGAAAGGUAUACAGUGCUCCAUAGAUGGAAAAUGGAUUUUGGUUGGCAACCGGAAGCUUCUUACUGAAAAUGGGAUAACUAUACCUUCCAACGUAGAGAAUUUUGUGGUAGAAUUGGAAGAAAG
rnacentral:misc_RNA from 1 species